rnacentral:rRNA from 1 species
GACGAACGCUGGCGGCGUGCUUAACACAUGCAAGUCGAACGGAAAGGCCCUGCUUUUGUGGGGUGCUCGAGUGGCGAACGGGUGAGUAACACGUGAGUAACCUGCCCUUGACUUUGGGAUAACUUCAGGAAACUGGGGCUAAUACCGGAUAGGAGCUCCUGCUGCAUGGUGGGGGUUGGAAAGUUUCGGCGGUUGGGGAUGGACUCGCGGCUUAUCAGCUUGUUGGUGGGGUAGUGGCUUACCAAGGCUUUGACGGGUAGCCGGCCUGAGAGGGUGACCGGCAACAUUGGGACUGAGAUACGGCCCAGACUCCUACGGGAGGCAGCAGUGGGGAAUAUUGCACAAUGGGCGGAAGCCUGAUGCAGCAACGCCGCGUGCGGGAUGACGGCCUUCGGGUUGUAACCCGCUUCCGCCUGUGACGAAGCGUGAGUGACGGUAAUGGGUAAAGAAGCACCGGCUAACUACGUG